rnacentral:rRNA from 1 species
UGGGGAAUAUUGCACAAUGGGCGCAAGCCUGAUGCAGCCAUGCCGCGUGUAUGAAGAAGGCCUUCGGGUUGUAAAGUACUUUCAGCGGGGAGGAAGGUGUUGUGGUUAAUAACCGCAGCAAUUGACGUUACCCGCAGAAGAAGCACCGGCUAACUCCGUGCCAGCAGCCGCGGUAAUACGGAGGGUGCAAGCGUUAAUCGGAAUUACUGGGCGUAAAGCGCACGCAGGCGGUGUGUCAAGUCGGAUGUGAAAUCCCCGGGCUCAACCUGGGAACUGCAUUCGAAACUGGCAGGCUAGAGUCUUGUAGAGGGGGGUAGAAUUCCAGGUGUAGCGGUGAAAUGCGUAGAGAUCUGGAGGAAUACCGGUGGCGAAGGCGGCCCCCUGGACAAAGACUGACGCUCAGGUGCGAAAGCGUGGGGAGCAAACA